rnacentral:rRNA from 1 species
CCUACGGGUGGCAGCAGUGAGGAAUAUUGGUCAAUGGGCGCGAGCCUGAACCAGCCAAGUAGCGUGAAGGAUGACUGCCCUACGGGUUGUAAACUUCUUUUAUAAAGGAAUAAAGUGAGGCACGUGUGCCUUUUUGUAUGUACUUUAUGAAUAAGGAUCGGCUAACUCUGUGCCAGCAGCCGCGGUAAUACGGAGGAACCGAGCGUUAUCCGGAUUUAUUGGGUGUAAAGGGAGCGUAGAUGGGUUGUUAAGUCAGUUGUGAAAGUUUGCGGCUAAACCGUAAAAUUGCAAUUGAUACUGGCCGUCUCGAGUGCAGUUGAGGUAAGCGGAAUUCGUGGUGUAGCGGUGAAAUGCUUAGAUAUCACGAAGAACUCCGAUUGCGAAGGCAGCUUACUAAACUGCCACUGACAUUGAUGCUCGAAAGUGUGGGUAGCAAACAGGAUUAGAUACCCCAGUAGUC